AUUGAACGCUGGCGGCAUGCCUUACACAUGCAAGUCGAACGGCAGCACGGGUGCUUGCCCCUGGUGGCGAGUGGCGAACGGGUGAGUAAUACAUCGGAACAUGUCCUGUAGUGGGGGAUAGCCCGGCGAAAGCCGGAUUAAUACCGCAUACGAUCUACGGAUGAAAGCGGGGGACCUUCGGGCCUCGCGCUAUAGGGCUGGCCGAUGGCUGAUUAGCUAGUUGGUGGGGUAAAGGCCUACCAAGGCGACGAUCAGUAGCUGGUCUGAGAGGACGACCAGCCACACUGGGACUGAGACACGGCCCAGACUCCUACGGGAGGCAGCAGUGGGGAAUUUUGGACAAUGGGCGAAAGCCUGAUCCAGCAAUGCCGCGUGUGUGAAGAAGGCCUUCGGGUUGUAAAGCACUUUUGUCCGGAAAGAAAUCCUUGACCCUAAUACGGUCGGGGGAGGACGGUACCGGAAGAAUAAGCACCGGCUAACUACGU
rnacentral:rRNA from 1 species